rnacentral:rRNA from 1 species
AUUGAACGCUGGCGGCAGGCCUAACACAUGCAAGUCGAACGAGUGGCGGACGGGUGAGUAAUGUCUGGGAAACUGCCUGAUGGGGGGAGAUAACUACUGGAAACGGUAGCUAAUACCGCAUACCAUCAGAGGUGCCCAGAGGGGAUUAGCUAGGAGGUGGGGUAACGGCUCACCUAGGCGACGAUCCCGAGCGGGUCUGAGAGGAUGACCAGCCACACUGGAACUGAGACACGGUCCAGACUCCUACGGGAGGCAGCAGUGGGGAAUAUUGGACAAUGGGCGAAAGCCUGAUCCAGCCAUGCCGCGUGUGUGAAGAAGGUCUUCGGAUUGUAAAGCACUUUAAGUUGGGAGGCGUUACCAACAGAAUAAGCACCGGCUAACUUCGUGCCAGCAGCCGCGGUAAUUC